rnacentral:rRNA from 1 species
GAUGAACGCUAGCUACAGGCUUAACACAUGCAAGUCGCAGGGUAACAUGAGGAAAGCUUGCUUUCCUUGAUGACGACUGGCGCACGGGUGAGUAACGCGUAUCCAACCUUCCCAUAACUACGGGAUAACCCGUUGAAAGACGGCCUAAUACCGUAUGAUAUCGUUUGCUGACAUCAAAUAACGAUUAAAGGUUUAGCGGUUAUGGAUGGGGAUGCGUCUGAUUAGCUUGUUGGCGGGGUAACGGCCCACCAAGGCGACGAUCAGUAGGGGUUCUGAGAGGAAGGUCCCCCACAUUGGAACUGAGACACGGUCCAAACUCCUACGGGAGGCAGCAGUGAGGAAUAUUGGUCAAUGGGCGAGAGCCUGAACCAGCCAAGUAGCGUGCAGGAUGACGGCCCUAUGGGUUGUAAACUGCUUUUAUGUGGGGAUAAAGUGCGUGACGUGUCAUGCAUUGCAGGUACCACAUGAAUAAGGACCGGCUAAUUCCGUGCCAGCAGCCGCGGUAAUACGGAAGGUCCGGGCGUUAUCCGGAUUUAUUGGGUUUAAAGGGAGCGUAGGCUGUCUAUUAAGCGUGUUGUGAAAUAUACCGGCUCAACCGGUGGCUUGCAGCGCGAACUGGUCGACUUGAGUAUGCAGGAAGUAGGCGGAAUUCAUGGUGUAGCGGUGAAAUGCUUAGAUAUCAUGACGAACUCCGAUUGCGCAGGCAGCUCACUGUAGCAUAACUGACGCUGAUGCUCGAAAGUGCGGGUAUCAAACAGG